rnacentral:lncRNA from 1 species
UUGUGGUAUUUCUGGAUCCUUACCAAGGUAGUAAUGGUGUAUGCCUUCUCUCAAAGUAUGUGGUAUUUUUGGUAUGAGGCAUAGUGGCAUUGCCUUCUCUCUCACCCUACUCUAAUAAGGUUUUGAUAUCUGGAGCUCAUAGGUGGGAGACAGCUAAUACAUACUUACAAGAUAUUUAUUGCAUAGUCAAACCAUGGAUCCAGAAGAACAAGUCAAUAAGUCAAAUCAAGAUGUGCAUGUGUGGUGAAUGAAUGGUGAUAAUGGUGAAAAUAAUGGUGAAAGUCUAAUUCUGCUUUUGCUCUUUUGAGGGAAUACAUACCUUUCUUGAUCUUUUGAAACUUUUUGUGGAUAAUGAGAUGCUCUAUAUUUUAUUUUUCUUUUCUCUCAGGUGGGUAUCUUGUACCCCUAAUUCUACUGUCGGACACUUGUACAUUUUUACCUCUUGUCUCACUUUUUCUUUUCUUUCGAGGUUCCGAGCACUUGCCCCUUUUUAUUUCCUCAUAUCUUUUUUUAUGAGCACUCAUCUAUUGAAAUAAUAUAGCAAGUGGUAGUAACCAAGAUAUCUUGAGCAUUUAUUUCACAUGGGAAAACAGAAAUAGGAGAAUGUUUUUGGCUAUUCUCUCCCGGAUUAGGAGUAGAAUAUUUUUGGGUGGAUCUGGAUAUGGAAAUGAGUGGAUGUAUUUGGAUGCGUACUUCCAUUGUAGAAGCAGCAUGUAUGAG